ACGGCUCAGUAACACGUGGAUAACCUGCCCUUGGGUCUGGCAUAACCCCGGGAAACUGGGGAUAAUACCGGAUAACGCAUAUAUGCUGGAAUUCUUUAUGCGUGAAAUGGAUUCGUCUGCCCAAGGAUGGGUCUGCGGCCUAUCAGGUAGUAGUGGGUGUAAUGUACCUACUAGCCGACGACGGGUACGGGUUGUGAGAGCAAGAGCCCGGAGAUGGAUUCUGAGACAUGAAUCCAGGCCCUACGGGGCGCAGCAGGCGCGAAAACUUUACAAUGCGGGAAACCGUGAUAAGGGGACACCGAGUGCCAGCAUCAUAUGUUGGCUGUCCGGGUGUGUAAAAUACACCUGUUAGCAAGGGCCGGGCAAGACCGGUGCCAGCCGCCGCGGUAACACCGGCGGCCCGAGUGGUGAUCGUGUUUAUUGGGUCUAAAGGGUCCGUAGCCGGUUUGGUCAGUCCUCCGGGAAAUCUGACGGCUUAACCGUUAGGCUUUCGGGGGAUACUGCCAGACUUGGAACCGGGAGAGGUAAGAGGUACUACAGGGGUAGGAGUGAAAUCUUGUAAUCCCUGUGGGACCACCUGUGGCGAAGGCGUCUUACCAGAACGGGUUCGACGGUGAGGGACGAAAGCUGGGGGCACGAACCGGAUUAGAUACCCGGGUAGUCCCAGCCGUAAACGAUGCUCGCUAGGUGUCAGGCAUGGCGCGACCGUGUCUGGUGCCGCAGGGAAGCCGUGAAGCGAGCCACCUGGGAAGUACGGCCGCAAGGCUGAAACUUAAAGGAAUUGGCGGGGGAGCAC
rnacentral:rRNA from 1 species